rnacentral:misc_RNA from 1 species
UCCAGAUCUUGAAACUGAGCUGAUUAGUUUUCUCCUAUCUGUCUUUCUUAAAAUACAGCCUUUGUCUUUGGUUUACUUUCUUUUCUUCAAUACCAAACAUGACUGUAACUUGGUUUUCUCAUGCCUAGUAAAUUGUAGCCAAGCUACAUCGAUCGUAUCCUAGGUGAUCGAUACAGAAACCAGUAAAAUAAGAAACUAAUGAAGGACGAGAAACAGUGCUAGCGUGUAAACAAAGAAAAGUAAUCCAAGAAUCUUGAUGAAGAAAGAAACUCACCUGCAGUC